GGAAAUCGUUUCUAGUCAUUUUGAUUAUAUACCAUGCUCGUCAUUAUGUUUUUGCACACAAAUGGUGUAUAUAUACUAAAACAGUGUUGCUGCUGCACUGUAGCUUAGUAACAGUACCGGCUCGGAUCGGCCGCGGCAUUUUUUUUUUUCUAUUUCCGCUCCCUCCUCCCCCUUCAGAAAGUGAUUGCCAGAGAGAGAAAGAGGUUUUCUGUGUCUUCUGGGUCUCCUCACUAUUCUGCGAGAGAGAGAACGAGGGAGUGAAGGCUGAUCCGAAAGAGAGGAAGAACAAGGAACGGGAAGAGGAAGAAGAAUUUGAUACACCAAGUUGUGGUGAUGACUUUUUUCCUGAAAUUUCAGUUCUUGAUUGAAGGUUUGGUUUGCCAUGCAUGCUGGGUAUAUGCGAGAAUUGGAUUUCAGAAUUUCUUUUUUCUUUUUCUCUGUUUGAGUUGAAAGCUCUGUGGGUUUUGAAGUAGUGGGUAGCUGAGAUUUAAGAGCAAAUAAUUGAACUCAAUCGAGCAUGAUUCGAGUUGUGUGAUCCGAAAUUGGAAAACCCAAUCAAAAAUUCAACUUGGCGCAUUUAGUUCAAUAUGAUUUGAUGGUCUUGGUGCAUUUAGUUCAAUCAAAAAUUCAACUUGGUGCAUUUAGUUCGAUUCAUAAUGCAUAGAUGAACACGUGUUUUGUGAAGACUUCAAGUUCAAUGUUCACUGGGAACUAUAAAUUGCAUGGGAGAAAAUAUAAAAUAACAAAAAAACACAUGGAAUUCCAAUUAGUGACUGUCAUCGUUUGGCCACCUUGAGGAGGAAUACCAGCCGCAAUUUCAAAUUGAAUUCCAAUUUAGUUUUGAUUCAAGUCAAUUCUGUAUAACUUAGGCUGUUUUAGUAGAAUUACUGCAGUGUUGUGUUGAUGCAAAGAGCAAAAUUGCCUUUUGUUGAAAUUUCACGAACUUGAUAGUGUGAAUUGAGAAUUUAGAUGCAUAUGAGGUCAAGUUUUUGGUUGAAAUUUGGAGUCGUAGAAAGCAGAGAACUGUAAUAUGUGCCGAGAUAUCAAACGUGGGAGAACUAUGAUACUAUUUCUAUGGUUGUAUUUGAGAAUGUUCAGUGAGAAAAACAAAGAUUUGGAGAUGCACAUAUGAUUACAUAUGCAUACCGUAUACAUAAUUACAUAUACAUACCGUAAGUUCUUCACAAAGACAUACAAGUCUCAUAUCAUUUAAGUAUAUGUAUACUUCUGUUGCUAUAUAAAUGCAUGGAAUCGUGGUACCAAUUGAUCAGGUCAUUUUGUCAAAAUAUUGAUGACCAGGCUGGUACCAAUUGAUCAGGUCAAUUGGAAAAGGAUAUAGAUAGAUGAUGCAUGUAUCUGCUAUUAACAGUUGGUAGUGAGUCAAUUUUACAUAUAUGUAUGAGCUUUAGAAUACUGUGAUUUUCAGCAAGCGACAGAGAGUAAAGGAUUUGAGUGGUUUUUACGAUUGAGUAUCCUAAUAAUUGAUUAUUCAACCAUCAUCUGUAUUCGAUCUGCGAGAAAGAUUGUAUAUGAAUAAAGCAGCAGCAGCAUCACGAGUUGGCCUGACUAGAUUUUGUUAUGGCUUUGUCUAACUUAAUAUUUAGUUGCCUAAUGUUUUGGAUCAUGGACAUUUUAUUAUUUUAGAUAUGAAAAAUGCGUAGUCGAAGCUGGGUAUAUAUUAACCUUAACAUUGUUCUUUUUUCUUGGCAAAUAUAGCAUAUGUUGUUUUCAACAGCUUUAGUUUAAUUUGGUUUUUAAUAGCUUUUCAAUGACUUUAGUUUCCUUGGCAAAUAUAGCAUCUGAAAGAUGCAUAUGUUCGUUUUUCCUUGAUUGAGUUUUUUGUUUCUGAAUUUUGUGUAUUUUGUAUAUUAAGAUGUAAAUGAAAAGUAAUUUGGGUUUAAGUUUGGGUUUGAAUAGAGAUGAGACUAAUGAUUAUUUUGCUAUCAAACUGAUUAAACUAGAAAGGAGUAAUUGGCAUCCAAUAUGCAUCGUCACAUAAACAUAUUACAGUUAAAGUGGCUCAUAGCCACAUAAAAUGGCUAGCACUAGCAGCUGGGAUCAGAUUUAUUUGUUGGGACUGACUUUGACAAAGUUCUUUUGCAGAUACAGAGAUUUAUUUGUUGGUAAUUUUUUUGUGUUUUUCCUUCUUUUGCCAUGGUAACUAAUUCAGAUGUAAACACCAGGACAGAUUUAAUGGGUUGAUCUUUGUACCAUUUUCUUUUCCUUCUAUUGUUUUUUUGGUUGCCGAAAAGGUUGAAAUCAGAUAUUACGUCAAAAGAAAAUUUAUCAAUUUUCAAGAAACUACUAAUAUCCUAACUUGGUUCUUUGGACAGCUCUGAGAGGACUGGAUCUGCAGACUGGCUUUUUUCACCUUGAGGCAAAUUAAAGCUCCCACUAAUAACUUUGAUCCUGUAAACAACAUUGGGGAAGGCAGUUUUGGUUGUGUCGACAAGGUCUAUCCAAAUUCAUGGACUGCAAUUUACGUACCUUUGGACAAUGUGGGAAUGUGGAAUGUGAGAUAUGAGAAUUGGGCCCGACAGUACUUAGGCCAGCAGUUUUAUCUUCGUGUAUACUUCUGUAUAAUCACAUUUCACCUAUUUAAUUCUAAGAUUCUAAACACACCAAGCAGCUUUUGACAGAAGAUGAAACUUCAGCAUUCUCAAGUCUCCAAUCACUCUAAGCAUCGCCGAUUCUGAAUCAGAAAAUGGGACAGUGCCUUGGUUAUAUCUAGGCUGACCAGUUUACUGUUGCAAUCAGAGAAACUUUUGGGAAUUUGAUGAUGUGCUUGAACCUGGUUGUCAUUGUUUGUCUUGGUGUUUGGGUAGCGCAGUAGCUGGUCAUCUCUUUCUACGAGUGCAGCAAUUGGAUGUUCGCUGAAACAAAGACAAAGGUUCAUGUGCUUCCGUCCAUUUGGGAUCUUUACUUGGGUUUCCAGAGCAUUUUUCUCAGUUGUAUUUGCACUUUGUUUUGUGCUAUUUCAUUUUCAGUUUCAUGUUCAUUGUAAUUUUUCUUUCAUAUGAGGUAAGGCUAACGUCCCACUCUUCCAACUGUAGUUUGUUUCUUUUGUAUACAAAAAAAAUGGAGUACAUAAUUUUCUUACCUUUUUUUUUUUUUUUUUUUUUAUAUUUUAAACUUUGAGUAAAUGAUGUUCCAAGCAAAAGCGGAGAUAAGGAAAAAACAACCCCGCAGCAACGCGUGGGAGUAACUAGUUGUAUUUAUUUGUAUGAUUGAGAUAACCAAUUGGUUUAUAAUGUGACGCCUUUUUUUAUAUUGAAAAAAAUAUUUUCUACGUGGUUGUGAUCUCAAAUAUAAAUGAUUAUGAUCAAUGUAUUUUAUUUAUUUAUUUUUUUUAAAAGAAAGGGCCGAUGCAACUACUCUUAGGUGUUGAUCAUUAAUGAAACCAAAUAAUACAUAGGAAGGACAUAGUGCUUAAACUCCAAAUUAUAAUAAGCAUCAAAAUAACAACUUGACAUAAUAACAGACGUUUCAACUAAAAAUAUGUAUUCUAAACUGCACCAAUUAGCGAAGAGUGUACCCUAUAGAAAAACGAAGUAAAUUACUACCUAACUGAAAUUUAGGUAAAAUCCAAAUAGUGAAAGGUAUUUGCCUAUCUCAUUCUAUCAAUUUAGUCAAUUAUGACAAGCAGCCGUCCAAGUCUAGAAACUUUGGCUACCCGUCCGGCCGUCCACGCUUAAAAAAAGUUCAAGAUAUAUCAUUAAGAGGCUGAUCCAAUUUAUCUAAUAUAUGCACAGAGAAAUCUGAU